CCUACGGGAGGCAGCAGUGGGGAAUAUUGCACAAUGGGGGAAACCCUGAUGCAGCAACGCCGCGUGGGUGAAGGAGCGUUUCGGCGCGUAAAGCCCUGUCAGCGGGGAAGAAGAAAGACGGUACCCGACCAAGAAGCCCCGGCUAACUACGUGCCAGCAGCCGCGGUAAUACGUAGGGGGCAAGCGUUAUCCGGAUUUACUGGGGGUAAAGGGAGCGCAGACGGCAGUGCAAGUCUGGAGUGAAAGCCCGGGGCCCAACCCCGGAACUGCUCUGGAAACUGUGCGGCUAGAGUACUGGAGGGGCAGGCGGAAUUCCUAGUGUAGCGGUGAAAUGCGUAGAUAUUAGGAGGAACACCAGUGGCGAAGGCGGCCUGCUGGACAGUAACUGACGUUGAGGCUCGAAAGCGUGGGGAGCAAACAGGAUUAGAUACCCCUGUAGUC
rnacentral:rRNA from 1 species